UUCUCCCAUUGAAAACGACACAGAUGAACUAUCUCGGGUUAGUUACAAAUAUCUUUGACUUAACUGUCUUCCUCCUCUGUUGUCUAUAGUUGCUCCACAGAUCCUGCCCUCCUCUAGCUGCAUCAGAACUGCAGAUCAGAUCGACUGUACCUAUGAGAGUCAUGGGAACCCCUCUGCCAAAGUGGAGGGGCGAUUGUCUGGAACGCCUGUCAAUCAGUUUACUAACAUUGUCAUCAGGGAGCCAAUGGGCAGCACAGGCCUGAGAAGCUCCCUUACCACCCAUCAAUCACAGGAGGAAGACACGCCCACUCUGGUCUGCCUCAGAACCAGCUCUGUAGGAUCUCAUUCACAAGAGGUUUGGACACCAUAAUUGACUACAAUGAUGAUCUUGAUAACCUUGAUAAUAACUUUUGCAAGUCUAUCGAUUAAAGCUUUUUCUGUUCACCCCUAGGUCAACUUGACAAUCUUCAUCACUGCAAUAUUUGUUUCGACAUUAAUGACAGCACUGAUAUGUGCUUUACUGUUUCUCCUAAGGGUUUGGGAUCCUUGUUUUACAGUACUCAGAGGUCAAUACAAAUAUUAUGACUGUGAUGUGGUGAUGAACCUAGUUCCGACCAGUAGUGAGAGGACACAGGAUCCUCCUGUGCCAGAAGAAGACAUAUACGCCAACAGCAUGAUUCCAUGUCAGGCCAGGAGACAGGGACGCAAAACAAGACCUAGAGGCCCCCAAUCCGGGUCCCAAACCCCUGCCUUCCGCCAAAGCCAUCUCUGAGACAGACCGAACCAGCCUGCCCAGUCCAAUCGCUGACACUGCUACAGUUCCAGGAGAAGUCACUGCAAAGAAGGAUGGAGAUGGUGUGUUGUAUUCCAGUGUGAUUUGGGAGAAGAAGAAGUGGAUGAAGAAGGAGAACGAGCGGUCCGUGGACAGGGGAAAGGAGGCGUCUAGCGGUUCCUACCUGCAGGAAGAGAGGUGUGUGCUGGGAAAUGUAGGCAGACAGAAUGAGAAAGGUACUGGAGGUGGAUAACCUGCGGUUUCUCAAGUUUUUCAUGAAUUUACUGUAGGCC
ensembl:lncRNA